GUUUGGGACGAUAAGACUUCUCAUAGCAAAUUUUUCAUUAAUACGACAGGAGUGAUGCAAACGCAUGAUGAAGAAACUCGCAAGUUUUUCAAGCAUUCUUCUGUUAAUUGCGUGUUAUCGCCCCGUUAUGCCAGCAGUAAGCUUAGCAUUUUCAAACAACAGGUUGUUGGGACCCUUUUUACACAUCAUCAGAAAUGUGUGAUUGUGGAUACACAAGCAUCUGGAAAUAAUCGGAAGAUAAGUGCUUUUAUAGGAGGUCUUGAUCUUUGUGAUGGCCGCUAUGAUACACCUGAACAUCGGUUGUUUCGGGAUCUUGACACUGUAUUUCAGGAUGAUUAUCACAAUCCAACAUUUUCAUCAGGAACCAAGGGUCCUCGGCAACCGUGGCAUGAUUGGCAUUGCAAAAUUGAAGGACCUGCUGCAUAUGA
rnacentral:misc_RNA from 1 species